GUGGACCUGCCUGGCUUCUGGAUUAAUUCUCUCUGGUCAAACGUCCACUCAAAGUCCAAUCAGCUGGACCUCAGAAGAGGCUGGAAAAGGGCUGCUCCUCUUGGAUCCUAAGGAUGCUCUGUCCCCACACUGCACACUGGCAGCAGCUCCAGACCUGCACGCCCUGGAGAAGGAAGGAUUGGGAUUCUUCCACUUCCAACCCAACGAAUCCAAGGGAAGAACUCUGCCUAAUCCAGCUUGUCCUGAGUAAACUGUGACUGACCAGGAAACUGACCAAUGCUUCCAGGGAAGAUGCUCAUCGGAUGCCCUCCAGCUUCAAGAUGCCUUCCUCAAGGGCCUCCCCAGCUCCCGACUCCGGAUGUUGGGGCCCUUCUGUGACCACCAUCUUUGAGGAUCUGGGGAGACUCUAAUGUGAGACACGUGAACUGGUGCUGACGGCUGCCCUAAGCUGUAAUAGGAGCCAGCGUUAGGAUGGGAUCAGGACCACGGAAGAAGGCAGAGCUGAAAG